UUAGACAGACGUUUGAGAGAAAGACGCUCUGAAAAACAACACUCAGACACCCUCAUGAAAGCCUCUCAUCUUAGUACAUUACCCACUCAAAACAAAGCACUGACUAAGACCACUACUACCCCCAUGGAGCUCGGAUUUAUCAGAGGUCCAUUAACCCCUCAAGAAAAAUUGAGACGUAGAGCUAACGAUCUCUGCAUGUACUGCGGGGGGUUGGACCACUCCGUCAGAGAUUGUAACCAACUUCUGCGCAGGAAUGUGGGAACACCACCGAAUAGAAUCGCAAGCAAUCCUUGACUCUGGGGCUACUCACAAUUACAUUGACCAACACUUUGUGCUAACAAAUAAAAUACCACUUGUUAAAAAGUUAAA